AUCCCAUACAAAUACACCUGAGCACACACAGAGCCUCAGACUUCCUGCCCCUGCCCUGCACUCUCAGGUGUCCCUGUGUCACAUCCUGCUCCUGCCCCACAAAGAUGGAUCCAGGUCAUAAGGGGCACUGCCAUGGUGGUCAUCCUCCAGGUCACUCCCAUGGUCAUGGUCCAGGGCACUGUCCCAGACCAGCCCACCCACCAGGACCCGGUGGACCUCCCCCUGGUCAUGGCCCAUGCCACUGUCCUAAACCACACCCCCCACCAGGACCUGGUGGACCACCCCCUGGCCAUGGUCCAGGGCACUGUGGGCAUCCCCAUGGUCCACAUCAUUGAGGAAUAAGAAGAAAAUAAGAGAGAAGAUAAGAAAAGCCUCAACGGGCUUCCAUGCUGCCCACAACAGAACCUGAACCAACAUCUUCUAUUCCUAAUAAACAGCUUCCU